rnacentral:rRNA from 1 species
CCUACGGGAGGCAGCAGUGGGGAAUAUUGGGCAAUGGGCGCAAGCCUGACCCAGCAAUGCCGCGUGAAGGAAGAAGGCUUUCGGGUUGUAAACUUCUUUGACAGGAGAAGAUCAGAAGACGAUACCAUGAAAACAAGCCGCGGCUAACUACGUGCCAGCAGCCGCGGUUAUACGUAGGUGGCAAGCGUUGUGCGGAUUUACUGGGUGUAAAGGGCGUGUAGCCGGGAAAGCAAGUCAGAUGUGAAAUCCGGAGGCUCAACCUCAGAAUUGCAUUUGAAACUGUUUUUCUUGAGUACUGGAGAGGUAGACGGAAUUCUUUGUGUAGCGGUGAAAUGCGUAGAUAUAAGGAGGAACACUCGUGGCGAAGGCGGUCUGCUGGAAAGCAACUGACGGUGAGGCGCGAAAGCGUGGGGAGCAAACAGGACUAGAUACCCUUGUAGUC